AUACCAGACUCCUACGGGAGGCAGCAGUGGGGGAUAUUGCACAAUGGGGGGAACCCUGAUGCAGCGACGCCGCGUGAGGGAAGACGGUUUUCGGAUUGUAAACCUCUGUCUUUAGGGACGAAACAAAUGACGGUACUUAAAGAGGAAGCCACGGCUAACUACGUGCCAGCAGCCGCGGUAAUACGUAGGUGGCAAGCGUUGUCCGGAAUUACUGGGUGUAAAGGGAGCGUAGACGGCAGUGCAAGUCUGAAGUGAAAGCCCCGGGCUUAACCCGGGAACUGCUUUGGAAACUGUACGGCUGGAGUGCUGGAGAGGUAAGCGGAAUUCCUAGUGUAGCGGUGAAAUGCGUAGAUAUUAGGAGGAACACCAGUGGCGAAGGCGACUUUCUGGACUGUACCUGACGCUGAGGCGCGAAAGCGUGGGUAGCGAACGGGAUUAGAUACCCGGGUA
rnacentral:rRNA from 1 species